rnacentral:rRNA from 1 species
GACGAACGCUGGCGGCGUGCCUAAUACAUGCAAGUUGAGCGAUGAAGAUUGGUGCUUGCACCAAUUUGAAGAGCAGCGAACGGGUGAGUAACGCGUGGGGAAUCUGCCUUUGAGCGGGGGACAACAUUUGGAAGCGAAUGCUAAUACCGCAUAACAACUUUAAACAUAAGUUUUAAGUUUGAAAGAUGCAAUUGCAUCACUCAAAGAUGAUCCCGCGUUGUAUUAGCUAGUUGGUGAGGUAAAGGCUCACCAAGGCGAUGAUACAUAGCCGACCUGAGAGGGUGAUCGGCCACAUUGGGACUGAGACACGGCCCAAACUCCUACGGGAGGCAGCAGUAGGGAAUCUUCGGCAAUGGACGAAAGUCUGACCGAGCAACGCCGCGUGAGUGAAGAAGGUUUUCGGAUCGUAAAACUCUGUUGGUAGAGAAGAACGUUGGUGAGAGUGGAAAGCUCAUCAAGUGACGGUAACUACCCAGAAGGGGACGGCUAACUACGUG